AUUGAACGCUGGCGGUAUGCCUUACACAUGCAAGUCGAACGGUAGAGGGGCAACCCUCGAGAGUGGCGAACGGGUGAGUAAUACAUCGGAACGUGCCCAGUCGUGGGGGAUAACGUAGCGAAAGCUACGCUAAUACCGCAUACGACCCGAGGGUGAAAGCGGGGGACCUGCAAGGGCCUCGCGCGAUUGGAGCGGCCGAUGGCAGAUUAGGUAGUUGGUGGGGUAAAGGCCCACCAAGCCUGCGAUCUGUAGCUGGUCUGAGAGGACGACCAGCCACACUGGGACUGAGACACGGCCCAGACUCCUACGGGAGGCAGCAGUGGGGUAUUUUGGACAAUGGGCGAAAGCCUGAUUCAGCCAUACCGCGUGCGGGAAGAAGGCCUUCGGGUUGUAAACCGCUUUUGUCAGGGAAGAAAUCUUCCGGGUUAAUACCUCGGGGGGAUGACGGUACCUGAAGAAUAAGCACCGGCUAACUACGUGCCAGCCGCCGCGGUAAAAC
rnacentral:rRNA from 1 species